rnacentral:rRNA from 1 species
GACGAACGCUGGCGGCGUGCCUAAUACAUGCAAGUCGAGCGAAGUUUUUCUGGUGCUUGCACUAGAAAAACUUAGCGGCGAACGGGUGAGUAACACGUAACGAACCUGCCUCAUAGACGGGGACAACUAUUGGAAACGAUAGCUAAUACCGGAUAACAGCAUAAAUCGCAUGAUAUAUGUUUGAAAGUUGGUUUCGGCUAACACUAUGAGAUGGCUUUGCGGUGCAUUAGCUAGUUGGUGGGGUAAAGGCCUACCAAGGCGACGAUGCAUAGCCGACCUGAGAGGGUGAUCGGCCACACUGGGACUGAGACACGGCCCAGACUCCUACGGGAGGCAGCAGUAGGGAAUCUUCCGCAAUGGGCGAAAGCCUGACGGAGCAACGCCGCGUGAGUGAAGAAGGAUUUCGGUUCGUAAAGCUCUGUUGUUAGGGAAGAAUGAUUGUAUAGUAACUAUAUACAGUAGAGACGGUACCUAACCAGAAAGCCACGGCUAACUACGUGCCAGCAGCCGCGGUAAUACGUAGGUGGCAAGCGUUGUCCGGAAUUAUUGGGCGUAAAGCGCGCGCAGGUGGUUUAAUAAGUCUGAUGUGAAAGCCCACGGCUCAACCGUGGAGGGUCAUUGGAAACUGUUAAACUUGAGUGCAGGAGAGAAAAGUGGAAUUCCUAGUGUAGCGGUGAAAUGCGUAGAGAUUAGGAGGAACACCAGUGGCGAAGGCGGCUUUUUGGCCUGUAACUGACACUGAGGCGCGAAAGCGUGGGGAGCAAACAGG